AGAUAAUUCAUUAUGUGAUGACUUGGGAUGAUAUUGUAACAAUUUAUCCCAAAAAUCAUAUCAGAGCUAUCAAUUUGCUCCUAAGCAUAAAAGUUUACAUCCAGACUUAUAUCCUCAAGAAGAUUUUGGAAAGAUCUCCCUUGAAAAGAGACUUGGAUUUGGCAAGAGGGGACAACAUUGCCAAGAGGGGUGUUUUUAACAUUGUGAGAGAUAACGUUUAAAACAUACUGAAAUGGCUAAAGAUAAUCAAAGUUAAAGGUGAAUGUGUGCAAAGAAUGUGUUGUAAAAGUGAAAUAACAG
rnacentral:lncRNA from 1 species